UACGUAGGGGGCUAGCGUUGUCCGGAUUUAUUGGGCGUAAAGAGCGUGUAGGCGGCCAGGCAGGUCCGUUGUGAAAACUCGAGGCUUAACCUCGAGAUGUCAUCGGAAACCAUCUGGCUAGAGUCCGGAAGAGGAAAGUGGAAUUCCUGGUGUAGCGGUGAAAUGCGCAGAUAUCAGGAAGAACACCAAUGGCGAAGGCAGCUUUCUGGGACGGUACUGACGCUGAGACGCGAAAGCGUGGGGAGCGAACAGG
rnacentral:rRNA from 1 species